rnacentral:rRNA from 1 species
AUACAGAGGGUGCGAGCGUUAAUCGGAAUUACUGGGCGUAAAGCGCGCGUAGGCGGCUUGGUCGGUCGGAUGUGAAAGCCCCGGGCUCAACCUGGGAAUGGCAUUCGAUACUGCCAGGCUAGAGUAUGGGAGAGGGAAGGGGAAUUUCCGGUGUAGCGGUGAAAUGCGUAGAUAUCGAAAGGAACACCAGUGGCGAAGGCGACUUCCUGGCCCAAUACUGACGCUGAGGUGCGAAAGCGUGGGGAGCGAACAGGAUUAGAAACCCUAGUAGUCC